GCCAGGCGUGGCGGCGUGCACCUGUAGUCCCAGCUACUAGGGAGGCUGAGGCGGAGCUUGCAGUGAGCCGAAAUUGCACCACUGCACUCCAGCCUGGGCGACAGAGCGAGAAUCUGUCUCAAAAAAAAAAAAAAAAAAAAAAAAAAGAUGCAUUUUUAAGGAAUUUUUUUUUUUUUUUGAGACGGAGUCUGGCUCUGUCGCCCAGGCUGGAGAGCAGCGGCGCCAUCUCGGCUCACUGCAAGCUCCGCCUCCC
rnacentral:SRP_RNA from 2 species